rnacentral:rRNA from 1 species
GCAGUCGAACAUGUAGCUGACCCCCACCUCCCCCCCCACGGUCACAGUGUUCGAUCCAUGGCUCAGGAUGAACGCUGGCGGCGUGCCUAACACAUGCAAGUCGAACGGUCACUUCGGUGAUAGUGGCGGACGGGUGAGUAACGCGUAAGAAUCUAGCCUUCAGGACGGGGACAACAGUUGGAAACGACUGCUAAAACCCGAUGUGCCGAAAGGUGAAAUAUUUAUUGCCUGGAGAAGAGCUUGCGUCUGAUUAGCUAGUUGGUGGGGUAAAAGCCUACCAAGGCGACGAUCAGUAGCUGGUCUGAGAGGAUGAGCAGCCACACUGGGACUGAGACACGGCCCAGACUCCUACGGGAGGCAGCAGUGGGGAAUUUUCCGCAAUGGGCGAAAGCCUGACGGAGCAACGCCGCGUGAGGGAGGAAGGCUCUUGGGUUGUAAACCUCUUUUGUUAGGGAAGAAAAACUGACGGUACCUAACGAAUCAGCAUCGGCUAACUCCGUGCCAGCAGCCGCGGUAAUACGGAGGAUGCAAGCGUUAUCCGGAAUUAUUGGGCGUAAAGCGUCCGCAGGUGGUCAUUCAAGUCUGCUGUCUAAAGGCAGAAGCUUAACUUCUGAUAGGCAGUGGAAACUGAAAAGACUAGAGGUCAGUAGGGGUAGCAGGAAUUCCCAGUGUAGCGGUGAAAUGCGUAGAGAUUGGAAGAACAUCGGUGGCGAAGCGUGCUACUGGGCUGAAUCUGACACUGAGGGACGAAAGCUAGGGGAGCAAAAGGGAUUAGAUACCCCUGUAGUCCUAGCCGUAAAACGAUGGAAACUAGGCGUGGCUUGUAUCGACCCGAGCCGUGCCGAAGCUAACGCGUUAAGUUUCCCCGCCUGGGGAGUACGCACGCAAGUGUGAAACUCAAAGGAAUUGACGGGGGCCCGCACAAGCGGUGGAGUAUGUGGUUUAAUUCGAUGCAACGCGAAGAACCUUACCAGGGCUUGACAUGUCGCGAACCCUAGUGAAAGCUGGGGGUGCCUUAGGAGCGCGAACACAGGUGGUGCAUGGCUGUCGUCAGCUCGUGUCGUGAGAUGUUGGGUUAAGUCCCGCAACGAGCGCAACCCUCGUCCUUAGUUGCCAGCAGGUAAAGAUGGGCACUCUGAGGAGACUGCCGGUGACAAACCGGAGGAAGGUGGGGAUGACGUCAAGUCAGCAUGCCCCUUACGCCCUGGGCGACACACGUACUACAAUGGUUGAGACAAAGGGCAGCGAACUAGCGAAUGUAAGCGAAUCCCAGCAAACUCAGCCUCAGUUCAGAUUGCAGGCUGCAACUCGCCUGCAUGAAGGAGGAAUCGCUAGUAAUCGCCGGUCAGCAUACGGCGGUGAAUCCGUUCCCGGGCCUUGUACACACCGCCCGUCACACCAUGGAAGCUGGCCACGCCCGAAGUCGUUACCCUAACCCAGAAGUGGGAGGGGGAUGCCGAAGGCAGGGCUAGUGACUGGGGUGAAGUCGUAACAAGGUAGCUCUACGAUGUGAUGCUUGCACAAGUGAUCCA